AUGGAGAGUAAACUGGGAGCUGCACUGGGGAUUCUGUGGGUGCAGAUUUGCUGGGUGAGAGGAGUUGAUGUGGAGCAGAGUCCUUCAGACCUGAGUCUCCACGAGGGAACCAGUUCUGCCCUGAGAUGCAAUUUUUCAACCACCAUCAUGAGUGUGCAGUGGUUCCAGCAGAAUCCCAGGGGCAGCCUCAUCAAACUGUUUUACCUGACUCCUGGAACAAAGGAGACUGGAAGGCUAAAGUCAACAUUCAACUCCAAGGAGCGCUACAGCACCCUGCACAUCAGGGAUGCCCAGCUGGAGGACUCAGGCACCUACCUCUGUGUAGUGGAGGCACAGUGCUUUUUACAAGCCUGCAGCCUGGCCCAAAACUGCAGCUGGAGAAGAAGAUGCUCUGGCACACCUGACCCAGAUGGGACAUAUCAAUCACACAACCUUGUCCCACGGUCAAAGGUCACUGAGGAAGAGGAGAUGGAAAGAAUGUCAGAGCAAUAG